AACGAACGCUGGCGGCAGGCCUAACGCAUGCAAGUCGAGCGAGGACUUCGGUUCUAGCGGCGGACGGGUGAGUAACGCGUGGGAAUGUGCCCUUCUCUACGGAAUAGCCCUGGGAAACUGGGAGUAAUACCGUAUACGCCCUAUUGGGGAAAGAUUUAUCGGAGAAGGAUCAGCCCGCGUUGGAUUAGGUAGUUGGUGGGGUAAUGGCCUACCAAGCCGACGAUCCAUAGCUGGUUUGAGAGGAUGAUCAGCCACACUGGGACUGAGACACGGCCCAGACUCCUACGGGAGGCAGCAGUGGGGAAUCUUAGACAAUGGGGGCAACCCUGAUCUAGCCAUGCCGCGUGAGUGAUGAAGGCCUUAGGGUUGUAAAGCUCUUUCAGCUGGGAAGAUAAUGACGGUACCAGCAGAAGAAGCCCCGGCUAACUCCGUG
rnacentral:rRNA from 1 species